AGGAUCAUAACCUUUGACAUCCGCUGGCCGACAGGUCAUCUUUUUGGUAGGAUAAAUAGGUUGAAGAAAGUAAGCCGAGGGCCAGACUGUGAGAGUCGUAAGCCGGGGUAAGCUUGGUGCUCCUUCUUUGUUUUCUUUAUUAUUUGCUAAUGAAGAAUUGUGAUUGAGAGAAAUAUUGUUGAAUUGAUAAUCGUAGAAUGGAUUAUGGAUUGAAUUAAGAUAGAAGUAGUAAGCCUCG
rnacentral:lncRNA from 1 species